GCCCCGGAAUCAGACUCACCAGUUGCUCAAGCUUCUUUGUUGGUUCCCAUUCUCACCUGGACCUCAUCUGUGCACAGUUGGACAGUCCCCAGUACUGACUUAAGACACAGCUGUCCCAGCCGCCUGCGGAAGGUUCGGGAUUGAGAGUAUGGUCGGAGGUAGAAAGAUGUGACCCCUGGGGUUGACAGCUGCUAUCCAGUAGCCACCAAGGGGGACGUUCCACAAGGGCUGGCCGAAAACUGGGGAGUCACCAAAGUCUGCCAAGGACAGAUAAAAGGCAGCAAAGAGUGAGCCUCAGGGGCACUCUCUUGAUCUUCAACUUGACCACCACCCGAUCUGUCCAGCCAGAAGGACCAGGCAGCAACCCCCUUCUGGAAGAUAACACUACGUUGGAAGAAGCCUCAACC